AAUAAAGACACGCCCUGUCGGUGCACCACCUGCCACAUUUCUCAACCAUGUUCAGACAUGGUUCAUGACAAAAGCAGUGAGAACAUUGUGGAGCUCUUCUGCACUCGCAGCUGUGCGACGUCAUACAGACUCGCAGUUGAAUACAAGCUUCAUGGUAAGAGAGACGAGAUAGCUUCGUUUUUUUCUUGAUACUCGUCCUCCUCUUCAGUGUCUUUAGCAGGAAUUGAGAUCAAUGAUAACUUAGCGUUAAAAGACACAAAGGACUUUUUGGGGGGAUGAUGCAGGAAGUCUAGAUUGAGCCAUAUAUAUGUGGAUUUUAAGGCUUAACAGACUCUCUAAAAUAUAGCACAUUGGUAUUACUUACCACUGUGCAGUGUUUAAGUUAACUUAAAAGUUAAACAGGAGAAGUUAGAGUUGUUGACCCAUACUGUACAUUAAUAAACAUUUCAAAUGACCUUGUGUCUGCUAACAGCUACAUUAUUAUGUUACACUUGUUUCUGUUUAUUACUCUCAGGGAAAGAAUGCUCAGCUCACAAGAAGAAAAAAAGCAUGAAAUUGAAAGAGAAAUUGACCGCUGAGGACUCCACUGUAAACAGAAAUGUUGCAUCUCCAGCUGCUGAGUCGGGCACACCAACGAUCAUCAUUGCAGACUCGUCCGUUGUUUGUUGCCUCUGUGGGAAAGAACUGCCGAAAGGACAGACGAUUUACCAGGCGAAGAGCUCACCAGAGGUUUAUUGCUCAGCCUCUUGCCUCUCUGAAAGGCAUCCCAACAACAAAUUAGGCACCAAAAGUUGCUACAACUGCCUUCAGUAAGUCAAAAACCAGUAUUGUGAUUAGUAGGAUUGAGCAAGUACUAGGAGGAAAUGAGUAUCAGUUAUAGAUCACAUAGUUUUACAAGUUUCAUCUGGGAAAAAUAUAUAUUUUUGUUUGAAAUCUCACACUUUCCAAUUAUGGAUAUACUUGCAGAUACUCAUCCCUCGUCAUCAGCUAGCACACGCUGCCUUAGAUCUAGGAGACUGAAGUAUUGCAGGCAAACCGAUCCUUUUAAAAACAGGUUUUUAGCCCCCACAAUGCACCUGACAGAAUGUCAUCGUGAUCUCACUCCCUCAGGGUGAUAAUGCGACCUCACAACAUGAUCCUGGCUCCGGUGGAUGAUUCAGGAACUGUAAGGGAAUUGUGCAGCAACACCUGCCUCACCUCUGUCAACUCCAAGAGGAACACUAUGAGGUGUAGGAUGUGCAGCAGACUUGCCUUUGUAAGUAACAAAAAAAAAGUAAACUUUUGUUUUAAACCUUUAUUUGACCUCAUUGCACAAUGAUUUUCAACAUUAAAGACAUGUGAAAAUUUUAUAUUUUUUGUCCUCUGUUUACAAAGUUUAGCCUGCAGUGACAUGCACA
rnacentral:lncRNA from 1 species